AUGAACGCUAGCUACAGGCUUAACACAUGCAAGUCGAGGGGCAGCAUGAACUUAGCUUGCUAAGUUUGAUGGCGACCGGCGCACGGGUGAGUAACACGUAUCCAACCUGCCGAUGACUCGGGGAUAGCCUUUCGAAAGAAAGAUUAAUACCCGAUGGCAUAGUUCUUCCGCAUGGUAGAACUAUUAAAGAAUUUCGGUCAUCGAUGGGGAUGCGUUCCAUUAGGUUGUUGGCGGGGUAACGGCCCACCAAGCCUUCGAUGGAUAGGGGUUCUGAGAGGAAGGUCCCCCACAUUGGAACUGAGACACGGUCCAAACUCCUACGGGAGGCAGCAGUGAGGAAUAUUGGUCAAUGGACGAGAGUCUGAACCAGCCAAGUAGCGUGAAGGAUGACUGCCCUAUGGGUUGUAAACUUCUUUUAUACGGGAAUAAAGUGAGGCACGUGUGCCUUUUUGUAUGUACCGUAUGAAUAAGGAUCGGCUAACUCCGUGCCAGCAGCCGCGGUAAUACGGAGGAUCCGAGCGUUAUCCGGAUUUAUUGGGUUUAAAGGGAGCGUAGGCGGACGCUUAAGUCAGUUGUGAAAGUUUGCGGCUCAACCGUAAAAUUGCAGUUGAUACUGGGUGUCUUGAGUACAGUAGAGGCAGGCGGAAUUCGUGGUGUAGCGGUGAAAUGCUUAGAUAUCACGAAGAACUCCGAUUGCGAAGGCAGCUUGCUGGACUGUAACUGACGCUGAUGCUCGAAAGUGUGGGUAUCAAACAGGAUUAGAUACCCUGGUAGUCCACGCCGUAAACGAUGACUACUAGGUGUCGGGGAGCAAAGCUCUUCGGUGCCGCAGCAAACGCAAUAAGUAGUCCACCUGGGGAGUACGUUCGCAAGAAUGAAACUCAAAGGAAUUGACGGGGGCCCGCACAAGCGGAGGAACAUGUGGUUUAAUUCGAUGAUACGCGAGGAACCUUACCCGGGCUUGAAUUGCAACUGAAUGAUGUGGAGACAUGUCAGCCGCAAGGCAGUUGUGAAGGUGCUGCAUGGUUGUCGUCAGCUCGUGCCGUGAGGUGUCGGCUUAAGUGCCAUAACGAGCGCAACCCUUAUCGAUAGUUACCAUCAGGUUAUGCUGGGGACUCUGUCGAGACUGCCGUCGUAAGAUGUGAGGAAGGUGGGGAUGACGUCAAAUCAGCACGGCCCUUACGUCCGGGGCUACACACGUGUUACAAUGGGGGGUACAGAAGGCAGCUACACGGCGACGUGAUGCUAAUCCCUAAAGCCUCUCUCAGUUCGGAUUGGAGUCUGCAACCCGACUCCAUGAAGCUGGAUUCGCUAGUAAUCGCGCAUCAGCCACGGCGCGGUGAAUACGUUCCCGGGCCUUGUACACACCGCCCGUCAAGCCAUGAAAGCCGGGGGUACCUGAAGUGCGUAACCGCAAGGAGCGCCCUAGGGUAAAACUGGUGAUUGGGGCU
rnacentral:rRNA from 1 species